rnacentral:rRNA from 1 species
UACAGAGGUCUCAAGCGUUGUUCGGAUUCAUUGGGCGUAAAGGGUGUGUAGGUGGCGCCGUAAGUCGGGUGUGAAAGCUCCGAGCUCAACUCGGAGAGGCCACCCGAUACUGCUAUGACUCGAGUCCGGUAGGGGAGUGCGGAAUUCCUGGUGUAGCGGUGAAAUGCGCAGAUAUCAGGAGGAACACCAAUUGCGAAGGCAGCUCGCUGGGACGUAACUGACGCUGAGACGCGAAAGCGUGGGGAGCAAACAGG